rnacentral:rRNA from 1 species
UGCGUAGGGUGCGAGCGUUAAUCGGAAUUACUGGGCGUAAAGUGUGCGCAGGCGGCCGCGCAAGUCGAGUGUGAAAGCCCCGAGCUUAACUUGGGAACUGCGUUGGAAACUACGAGGCUAGAGUGCGGCAGAGGGGGGUGGAAUUCCACGUGUAGCAGUGAAAUGCGUAGAGAUGCGGAGGAACACCGAUGGCGAAGGCAGCCCCCUGGGCCAACACUGACGCUCAGGCACGAAAGCGUGGGGAGCAAACAGG